AAUGGUAUGUAGGAAUUUCGGACGCGGGUUCAACUCCCGCCAGCUCCACCA
rnacentral:tmRNA from 2 species